CCUACGGGUGGCAGCAGUGAGGAAUAUUGGUCAAUGGGAGAGAUCCUGAACCAGCCAAGUCGCGUGAGGGAAGACUGCCCUAUGGGUUGUAAACCUCUUUUGUCAGAGAACAAAACCCGGGACGUGUCCCGGAAUGCGUGUAACCUAAGAAAAAGCAUCGGCUAACUCCGUUCCAGCAGCCGCGGUAAUACGGAGGAUGCGAGCGUUAUCCGGAUUUAUUGGGGUUAAAGGGUGCGUAGGCGGUCCGUUAAGUCAGCGGUAAAAUUGCGGGGCUCAACCCUGACGAGCCGUUUAAAAUGGCAGACUUGAGUUGGCGAGAAGUACGCGGAAUGCGCGGUGUAGCGGUGAAAUGCAUAGAUAUCGCGCAGAACUCCGAUUGCGAAGGCAGCGUACCGGCGCCAGACUGACGCUGAGGCACGAAAGCGUGGGGAUCGAACAGGAUUAGAUACCCUUGUAGUC
rnacentral:rRNA from 1 species